ACCACGAAACUAUAUUGGAACAUUUCUCACGAACGAUGCGACUACGAGAGGAUUCGCUGUUUGAGGGCACACGCUACCGGAGCAGUUUGCGCUCGGACGCUUUAUUAUAAUUACUACACCUUCCCUAACUAUUGUGUGCUGGAGUACCAUAACUGUAUCGGCAGAUACGAAGGUAUUUGGACGAUCGCUUAUAUGGGUAUUUGUACAGAAUUGAAUUUAGAAAAAGA